GAUGAACGCUGGCGGCGUGCCUAAUACAUGCAAGUCGAGCGAACAGACGAGGAGCUUGCUCCUCUGAUGUUAGCGGCGGACGGGUGAGUAACACGUGGAUAACCUACCUAUAAGACUGGGAUAACUUCGGGAAACCGGAGCUAAUACCGGAUAAUAUUUUGAACCGCAUGGUUCAACAGUGAAAGACGGUCUUGCUGUCACUUAUAGAUGGAUCCGCGCCGCAUUAGCUAGUUGGUAAGGUAACGGCUUACCAAGGCAACGAUGCAUAGCCGACCUGAGAGGGUGAUCGGCCACACUGGAACUGAGACACGGUCCAGACUCCUACGGGAGGCAGCAGUAGGGAAUCUUCCGCAAUGGGCGAAAGCCUGACGGAGCAACGCCGCGUGAGUGAAGAAGGUCUUCGGAUCGUAAAACUCUGUUAUUAGGGAAGAACAAAUGUGUAAGUAACUAUGCACGUCUUGACGGUACCUAAUCAGAAAGCCACGGCUAACUACGUG
rnacentral:rRNA from 1 species